GACGAACGCUGGCGGCGUGCUUAACACAUGCAAGUCGAACGGAAAGGCCCUGCUUUUGUGGGGUGCUCGAGUGGCGAACGGGUGAGUAACAAGUGAGUAACCUGCCCUUGACUUUGGGAUAACUUCAGGAAACUGGGGCUAAUACCGGAUAGGAGCUCCUGCUGCAUGGUGGGGGUUGGAAAGUUUCGGCGGUUGGGGAUGGACUCGCGGCUUAUCAGCUUGUUGGUGGGGUAGUGGCUUACCAAGGCUUUGACGGGUAGCCGGCCUGAGAGGGUGACCGGACACAUUGAGACUGAGAUACGACACAGACUCCUACGGGAGGCAGCAGUGGGGAAUAUUGCACAAUGGGCGGAAGCCUGAUGCAGCAACGCCGCGUGCGGGAUGACGGCCUUCGGGUUGUAAACCGCUUUCGCCUGUGACGAAGCGUGAGUGACGGUAAUGGGUAAAGAAGCACCGGCUAACUACGUG
rnacentral:rRNA from 1 species